UUGGAGGGCAAGUCUGGUGCCAGCAGCCGCGGUAAUUCCAGCUCCAAUAGCGUAUAUUAAAGUUGUUGCAGUUAAAAAGCUCGUAGUUGAAUUUCGGAAUCCAUCCGUCGGUCGGGCCUCACGGUCCGCACUGGUGUGAUGGAUUCCUACCUUCUGAAUAACCAGCAUGCCAUUAAUUUGGUGCGUUGGGGAAGCAGGACUGUUACCUUGAAAAAAUUAGAGUGCUUAAAGCAGGCUAGUGCCUGAAUACAUUAGCAUGGAAUAAUGAAAUAGGACGGCAUGGUUCUAUUUUGUUGGUUUCUAGGAUCACCGUAAUGAUUAAUAGGGAUAGUUGGGGGCAUUAGUAUUCAAUUGUCAGAGGUGAAAUUCUUGGAUUUAUUGAAGACUAACUUCUGCGAAAGCAUUUGCCAAGGAUGUUUUCAUUAAUCAAGAACGAAAGUUAGGGGAUCGAAGACGAUCAGAUACCGUCGUAGUCUUAACCAUAAACUAUGCCGACUAGGAAUCAGACGAUGUUAAUUUUUUAAUGACUCGUUCGGCGCCUUACGGGAAAC
rnacentral:rRNA from 1 species